rnacentral:rRNA from 1 species
CGCCAGACUCCUACGGGAGGCAGCAGUGGGGAAUAUUGGACAAUGGGGGGAACCCUGAUCCAGCGACGCCGCGUGAGUGAAGAAGUAUUUCGGUAUGUAAAGCUCUAUCAGCAGGGAAGAAGAAAUGACGGUACCUGACUAAGAAGCCCCGGCUAACUACGUGCCAGCAGCCGCGGUAAUACGUAGGGGGCAAGCGUUAUCCGGAUUUACUGGGUGUAAAGGGAGCGUAGACGGUGCAGCAAGUCUGGAGUGAAAGGCAGGGGCCCAACCCCGGAACUGCUUUGGAAACUGUGCAGCUAGAGUGCGGGAGAGGUAAGCGGAAUUCCUAGUGUAGCGGUGAAAUGCGUAGAUAUUAGGAGGAACACCAGUGGCGAAGGCGGCUUGCUGGACCGUAACUGACGUUGAGGCUCGAAAGCGUGGGGAGCAAACAGGAUUAGAUACCCGAGUA